UACGGAGGGUGCAAGCGUUAUCCGGAUUCACUGGGUUUAAAGGGUGCGUAGGCGGGUUGGUAAGUCCGUGGUGAAAUCUCCAAGCUUAACUUGGAAACUGCCGUGGAUACUAUCAAUCUUGAAUAUCGUGGAGGUAAGCGGAAUAUGUCAUGUAGCGGUGAAAUGCUUAGAUAUGACAUAGAACACCAAUUGCGUAGGCAGCUUACUACACGAUCAUUGACGCUGAGGCACGAAAGCGUGGGGAGCAAACAGG
rnacentral:rRNA from 2 species